GACGAACGCUGGCGGCGUGCUUAACACAUGCAAGUCGAACGGAAAGGCCCUGCUUGCAGGGUACUCGAGUGGCGAACGGGUGAGUAACACGUGGGUGAUCUGCCCUGCACUUCGGGAUAAGCCUGGGAAACUGGGUCUAUUACCGGAUAGGAGCCAUUUUUAGUGUGAUGGUUGGAAAGUUUUUUCGGUGUAGGAUGAGCUCGCGGGCUAUCAGCUUGUUGGUGGGGUAAUGGCCUACCUAGGCGGCGACGGGUAGCCGGCCUGAGAGGGUGGACGGCCACAUUGGGGCUGAGAUACGGCCCAGACUCCUACGGGGGGCAGCAGGGGGGAAUAAUGCACAAUGGGCGCAAGCCUGAUGCAGCGACGCCGCGGGGGGGAUGACGGCCUUCGGGUUGUAAACCCCUUUCGCUAGGGACGAAGCUGUGUGUGACGGUACCUAGAUAAGAAGCACCGGCUAACUACGUG
rnacentral:rRNA from 1 species